rnacentral:antisense_RNA from 1 species
CCUUUCUUUUCCUUUUUUCCCCGCUGUGCCUGAAUCUCCCGGGACACUUAGACGGCUGGAGCCUCCCGACUCCAGGGCGGGCGACGGCAAAGUUAAACGCCAGCGCGCUGCGGUCCCCGGGCACCGAGGCGUCCCCGCUCCCGCCACCCACACAGGGCGCCAAGUGCCCCGACCCGCGAGUGACGAGGACGCACAGCCUGGAAGCCUCGCGGCCCUCCAGAUGGACUCGGAGCGCCCCUGGAGGCUACAGUGACCUAAGCUCUAGGAAGGCCGGGUCCUGGACGCCGCGUGCUGCUGUCCGCCGCCGACCGAGUCCUCGCAGAGAUAACCUGGCUGAACUCACCGCCCAGCGCUAUGUCAGUUCUCCCUCAUGACAACCCAAAACUUGACCGGAUUUGUGUUCUGCAGAGGGGAAAAAAAAAGCGGCCACCGAACACCAGUGCAGUAGCCAGGAUGGGCCUGUGGCUCUGGCUCCAGCCUCCAGGGACACCAGCCGGAGAGAAGGAAGCCACGCAUGGAGAGCGGCCAGG